rnacentral:rRNA from 1 species
GACGAACGCUGGCGGCGUGCUUAACACAUGCAAGUCGAACGGAAAGGCCCUGCUUUUGUGGGGUGCUCGAGUGGCGAACGGGUGAGUAACACGUGAGUAACCUGCCUUGACUUUGGGAUUACUUCAGGAAACUGGGGCUAAUACCGGAUAGGAGCUCCUGCUGCAUGGUGGGGGUUGGAAAGUUUCGGCGGUUGGGGUUGGACUCGCGGCUUAUCAGCUUGUUGGUGGGGUAGUGGCUUACCAAGGCUUUGACGGGUAGCCGGCCUGAGAGGGUGACCGGCCACAUUGGGACUGAGAUACGGCCCAGACUCCUACGGGAGGCAGCAGGGGGGAAUAUUGCACAAUGGGCGGAAGCCUGAUGCAGCAACGCGGCGUGCGGGAUGACGGCCUUCGGGUUGUAAACCGAUUUCGCCUGUGACGAAGAGUGAGUGACGGUAAUGGGUAAAGAAGCACCGGCUAACUACGUG